GAUGAAGAACGUAGCGAAAUGCGAUAAGUAAUGUGAAUUGCAGAAAUCAGUGAAUCAUCGAAUCUUUGAACGCACCUUGCACCCUUUGGCAUUCCGAAGGGUAUGCUCGUUUGAGUGUCAUUGUACUCUCACACUUCCGAUCUUUGGAUUGGGAGCGGUGGACUUGGGUGUUGCUGCUUACUGUGGCUCACCUCAAAUCGAUUCGUGCACCUCUUGGUUGGACAUAGUACGGCGUGAUAAGUGUCUUCGCCGGCACCUCAGUAGAGGGUGGCUGAUCGGGAGCUCUGCUUCAAACCGUCCUCGGACAACAACUGACAACUUGACCUCAAAUCGAGUAGGACUACCCGCUGAACUUAAGCAUAUCAAUAAGCGGAGGA
rnacentral:misc_RNA from 1 species